CAAAUAUAUUUAUCCCUAAAAGUUUUAUAUAGAACAGCUUGUAGGUAAUAGUACUUUUAGAGGCCUAAUAAAUUAAUCAUUGCAAAUAUAAAAAGGUAAUAAAUAACAAAUUAAAAAUAAAAUUAGUAUACAAAAACUUUCUAGAACGAACGCUUUGAAAAUAAAUCAAAGUUUCUGGUACAGUCUGGCAACAACGCACUACAAUGUCGCAAAUUACUUCUAGUCCAUUCACUCACGGUAAAAUAUUGCAAAACCUGUAAAUUUUAAAGAACCGCUUGGAUUGACAUGAAAUUUGGCAUAAGCAUAGCAGCUAACAUGUCAAAGAAAAAACGUGAUAUUGUGCAGAUGUUUGCUUUUACCCUGUAGUGAAAAAAAUAAACGUUCAUAAUAAGUCCGGAAGUGGAUAAACUGACUAAUUCUAAGCAAUUAUUUUUGUUCUAUAGAGUUUUUUCACUAAGGCAAUACUUGUUGAGUUAUUUGCGAGUGAAUAAUAUAUUUAUUUUUCAAUAAAACAAAAACACGUUUUAGACGGUUUUUCGCAAAUAACUCGAAAACUAAAUAUUUUAUUGAGAAAAACAUUCUUAACAAAAAUAUAGCUUAUAAGAAGUGAAAAAAAAAAUGGUGUAUGUAUGAAGUCUGUACACAUCGUAGAAGUAGAGUUGUAGCUAAUGAAAAUUAGGUUUAUACUUAUCAAAUUCCAAAUCUAAUAUUUCAAUCUGAAAUAACCAAAAAAUUAAGCACUUAUUGGAGAAAACUCAUUUCAACUUUUUUAAAGUGUUUAAAAAAAGCUUUAAUUUUGUUUCAUUUUAAGUUUCUAGCAUCAAAAGUAAGCAAGUUACGCUCAAAAUAAAGUUGGUCCCAUUUUUAUAAAAAAAAGAUCGAGAAAGUCACCCCUUAAUUAGCAUCUCAAGUGAAAUUAAUCAUUUUCGUCACAAGUUGCUUUACUUUGUAUUAUUUAUGUGAUUUGUAAGUUUCAUCGGUUCAAACUGCGUAUUAAAAAAAAAAAAAAUUUGAAAAAAUUUGGUUUUUUUAUUUUUAAUUUUGAAACAAAUGAUUUUUUUUCCAAAUAACUUAAAAAUUAUUAGUGAUACCAAAAAUUUCAGAGGAAAAAAUGUGAGUUUAGCUUUCUGAAUUAUUUGGAUUUUUUGUUUUUCUGUAGACAAAAAUUGGUCAAGAUAUGGAUGUUCAAAAUUUCCAUACACUCGUGAUUAGUGACUCGUUCAAGCCUUUUCAACUACAGCCCUUAUAUUAGCAACUUUGAACCAAUGAAACUUACAUAUCAUAUAAACAAUACAUACAAGAGUAAAGCAACUUGUGAAGCGGUAACGAUUUGGGAUGCUAAAUUAGGGGGUGAUUUUCACGAUUUUUUACCAAAAAACAGGGACCAGGUUUAUUUUGCGCGUAACUUGCUUACUUUUGAUGGUAGAAACUUUUGUAGAAAACAAAAAUGAAGCUUUUUUCAACAUUUUAAACAAGUUGUCAUGAGUUUUUCAAAGUGAUUCAUUUUUUGGUUGUUUCACGUUGAAAUAUUCGAUUUGGAAUUUGACGAAUAUGAACCUAUUUUUCAUUAGCUACAAUUCUGCUUCUACUGAGUCUAGAGACCUCAUGCGUACAGCAUAUUUUUUUCACUUUUUAUAGUCUAUAUUUUUGCUAAGUGUUUUUUCAACAAAAUACUUACUUUUUGAGUUAUUUGCGAAAAACCGUCUAAAAACUUUUUUUUUGUUGAAAAAUGAACAUAUUGACUCGCAAAUAACUCAAAAACUUUUAAAUUAGUGAAAAAAACGCUAUUGAACAAAAAUUGCUUACAAGUAGUCAGUUUAUGCACUUCCAGACUCAUUUUAAACGUAUAUUUUUUCACCCCCGAAGAGGGGCGAGAGUCACUCCCAGGACCAAAGCACACAUCGGCACAAUAUCCCUUUUUUCUUUGACGUGUUAGCUAUGCGUAUGCCAAAUUAUAUGUCAAGCCAAGAGGUUCUUUAAAAUUUGGAGCAAAAACCGUGAGUAAAUGGACUAUUUUACUUUUUAAAAAAAUACUUUUAUAAUAUACUUUUCAAAGCCACCAUUCUAGUCGAACAAACACUAAAAGGCGUUCUUAACGAAUUAAAAAGCUUUAGAGCUAGCACAUUUGAAACUGGGUAAGUCGGGAAAACUAUAACUAUUAAAAUCACAUAGGAAGUGGGAAGAAAACUUUUGAUUAUUCCACUUUUUAUAACAGUAUCUUCAAUUAAAUAUGUAUAUUGUAGACAAAAGCUACCUAUAUCGACAAAAGGUCAGUGCAAAAAAUAGCUAAGUCCAUAUUUGUUCUAUAAUUGAGUUAAGUGGCGACAGGCGACAGCGAUAUAAAAUCAUGCGUAUUAAAAGUUCGCGAAGUAAGAUUUGUAACAAAAAGCUCCCUACUGGGUCCCACAGGUUAAAGUUUUAAUCAACCAUCAUUUCAGUGCAAGAAGUCACUAAGUGUCAAAAAGAAGUCCAAGUCCAUGGAAUUGGCAACUUAUUGCUACCGACACCAGCUCGAGAAUCGCACUAUAAAAGAUCUGAUGGUAGCAAUAGAAAAUACCUGGACCCUAAUAUAUUAAUCACUAAAUUACAUGAAAAAAUUUCAACACAAAUUCUGAUAAUAAAGCCUCAUAUGGGAUUUUUGAGAAGAUAUUCAAUGAGGAAUUUGACAUUUCCUUCGAGUAUCGAAGAAAGGAUACAUGCAAGACCUGUACAAAAUUCCCAGAUAGUACAAAGCAAGCUGACAUGAAUCUAUUAAGAUAAUCUUAAAAACACUUAAGAGAUUAAGAGUUUCAUCUUAGAAAAGCAGAUGUAUUUAAAACACAACUAGCUAAAGUUAAAAAAUCAACGGAUAUCUUCUCAAAUGAUUAUGAACAGAACCUGCCUUUACCUGUGACUAACGCACCAGAUGAAUAUUAAAUUAGUCGGUUAUGGUCGUACGUUUUUUGCAUUAUGACAUUCACAAUCCAAAAACUCGUUGUUUAUUGUAUACUUACACGAAAAAUUUUGCCCAAAAAGGUUAGAAUGAGGUUAUAACCUGAUUGAAUGAUUAUAUUGAAAAACACAAAGCUUCGAGGUACUCAAAAUUACAAAUUUUUGUGAUACCGCAUUUAUAAAAAUCGAAUUCUUUUCACUUGCCUAGAUGCGUUAUGCAAACGUAACAUUUUUAAGAUAUUUUAAUAUGGUAUCCUAUUCCAUGACACUCUAUGAUGCCAGUAGAUAGAUAUUUUGGUGCUAUUGAGAAGAAAACACUGAAACUAGAAGUAACUAACAAUCUUGAGUCUUACGUUGCGCUGAUCAGGUGAUGUAA
rnacentral:lncRNA from 1 species